ACAUGCCUACAACAUAGCAUUAAUGCACCAGAUCCCAUUAGGAAUCCACUGUUAAGUGCGUUGAAGCUAGAGUGGUACUCGGAUGGGUGACCUCCUAGGAAGUCUUAAUGUUUUACAUGCC
rnacentral:rRNA from 1 species